UACGAAGGGGGCUAGCGUUGUUCGGAAUUACUGGGCGUAAAGCGCGCGCAGGCGGUCUUCCAAGUCAGUGGUGAAAGCCCGGAGCUCAACUCCGGAACUGCCAUUGAAACUGUUGGACUUGAGUACGAGAGAGGUGAGUGGAAUUCCCAGUGUAGAGGUGAAAUUCGUAGAUAUCGGGAGGAACACCGGUGGCGAGGGCGACUACCUGGACCAGCACUGACACUGAGGCACGAAAGCGUGGGGAGCAAACAGG
rnacentral:rRNA from 1 species